rnacentral:tRNA from 1 species
GGGGAUUUAGCUCAGUGGCAUAAGCUCCUGCCUUGCAAGCAGAUAGUCGUGAAUUCAAUCCCUG